AAAAAAAUAAAUUCUAACUAUCCGUGUCCAAUAUUUGAUUAUCUAUCUUAUGUUAAUCUUUUUAUAAUUAGUAUUUUAAUUGUUAUUAGAUGAUAAAACAUAAUUAAUAUUUUAUGCGUGACUUAUCUUUUUAUUUUUUUAAUGAUUUUUUCAAAUAAAACGGACGGUCAAACGUUGGACAUAGAAACUAAAGGUUUGUCUUUUU
rfam:Oryza glaberrima chromosome 12 Oglab12_0075_5, whole genome shotgun sequence.